rnacentral:rRNA from 1 species
GGACUACCCGGGUAUCUAAUCCUGUUUGCUCCCCACGCUUUCGUGCAUGAGCGUCAGUAACGUCCCAGGGGGCUGCCUUCGCCAUCGGUAUUCCUCCACAUCUCUACGCAUUUCACUGCUACACGUGGAAUUCUACCCCCCUCUGACAUACUCUAGCCUGACAGUCACAAGCGCCAUUCCCAAGUUAAGCUCGGGGAUUUCACGCCUGUCUUAUCAAACCGCCUGCGCACGCUUUACGCCCAGUAAUUCCGAUUAACGCUCGCACCCUACGUAUUACCGCGGCGGCUGGCAC